rnacentral:rRNA from 1 species
CAGCCGCCACGGGAAUACGUAGGGUGCGAGCGUUAAUCGGAAUUACUGGGCGUAAAGCGUGCGCAGGCGGUUCGUUAAGACAGAUGUGAAAUCCCCGGGCUUAACCUGGGAACUGCAUUUGUGACUGACGGGCUAGAGUAUGGCAGAGGGGGGUAGAAUUCCACGUGUAGCAGUGAAAUGCGUAGAGAUGUGGAGGAAUACCGAUGGCGAAGGCAGCCCCCUGGGCCAAUACUGACGCUCAUGCACGAAAGCGUGGGGAGCAAACAGGAUUAGAUACCCCCGUAGUCCCUGUCUCUUAUAA